UACGUAGGGUGCAAGCGUUGUCCGGAAUUAUUGGGCGUAAAGAGCUCGUAGGCGGUUUGUCGCGUCUGCUGUGAAAACCCGAGGCUCAACCUCGGGCCUGCAGUGGGUACGGGCAGACUAGAGUGAUGUAGGGGAGACUGGAAUUCCUGGUGUAGCGGUGAAAUGCGCAGAUAUCAGGAGGAACACCGAUGGCGAAGGCAGGUCACUGGGCGCAACUUGAACUACUGAGGAGCGAAAGCAUGGGGAGCGAACAGG
rnacentral:rRNA from 1 species